GAUGAACGCUAGCGGCAGGCCUAAUACAUGCAAGUCGAACGGUGUCUUCGGACAUAGUGGCGCACGGGUGCGUAACACGUAUGCAACCUACCUUACAUUGGGGGAUAGCCUUUCGAAAGGGAGAUUAAUACCGCAUAAGACAGUAGCUGGGCAUCCAGCAGCUGUUAAAGAUUUAUCGAUGUAAGAUGGGCAUGCGUCCAAUUAGUUAGUUGGCGAGGUAAUGGCCCACCAAGACUUUGAUUGGUAGGGGAACUGAGAGGUCAAUCCCCCACACUGGCACUGAAAUACGGGCCAGACUCCUACGGGAGGCAGCAGUAGGGAAUAUUGGGCAAUGGACGCAAGUCUGACCCAGCCAUGCCGCGUGCAGGAUGAAGGCGUUAUGCGUUGUAAACUGCUUUUAUACAGGAAGAAACGACUCUUGCGAGAGGCAUUGACGGUACUGUAUGAAUAAGCACCGGCUAACUCCGUGCCAGCCGCCGCCGUAAGAC
rnacentral:rRNA from 1 species